GAUUUUCGGCACGACUUAGGACGUAAUUGGUCUUUUUCUUUAUUUGUAUUGAGUCAGAUUGUAUUAAAUAAAUGUAAUAUGAUUGUCAGGUGAGCCGGGACAGCCUUCUUCCUCCGCCCAGCCGCCACAGUAAUUUGUCGUCAAGUCUGCCACAGGAGGAUAUUUUGUUCUGGGUUAACCUGCCUUUUUACCUCGCAGGUUGUUUAUCAAUAUUGUGUAAUUUUAAUUACUCCUAGAAUUUCCGCAUGUGUUAGCAGUAAUUAUUUGAAAUUGGUCUGUAAUAUUAUAUUCAUGUUGGACCUGUAAACUUAAUAUUUUAAGUCUGUUUGAUGGAUUGGAUGAGGGAGCUGAGCUCCCAUUUAUUAUUAUGUUGAUGAGUAUGUGGAGGGUGAGCUGAGCUCCCCAAUGGAUUGUUUAUUGUGUUUACAGGUCGGGUGAGUCGAAAACUCCCAGUUGGAAAGUCCA